AGAGUUUGAUCCUGGCUCAGGAUGAACGCUAGCUACAGGCUUAACACAUGCAAGUCGCGGGGCAGCAUGAAGUCAGCUUGCUGACUUUGAUGGCGACCGGCGCACGGGUGAGUAACGCGUAUCCAACCUGCCUGUUACCACGGCACAGCCCGUCGAAAGGCGGAUUAAUGCCGUAUGUGGUCCUUUGCGGGCAUCUAAUUAGGACUAAAGGUUCGGCGGUAACAGAUGGGGAUGCGUCCGAUUAGCUAGACGGCGGGGUAACGGCCCACCGUGGCAACGAUCGGUAGGGGUUCUGAGAGGAAGGUCCCCCACACUGGAACUGAGACACGGUCCAGACUCCUACGGGAGGCAGCAGUGAGGAAUAUUGGUCAAUGGGCGCAAGCCUGAACCAGCCAAGUAGCGUGAGGGAAGACUGCCCUAUGGGUUGUAAACCUCUUUUGUGCGGGGAUAAAGUGUGGGACGUGUCCCAUAUUGCAGGUACCGCACGAAUAAGGACCGGCUAAUUCCGUGCCAGCAGCCGCGGUAAUACGGAAGGUCCGGGCGUUAUCCGGAUUUAUUGGGUUUAAAGGGAGCGCAGGCCGUCCUUUAAGCGUGCUGUGAAAUGCCGCGGCUCAACCGUGGCACUGCAGCGCGAACUGGAGGACUUGAGUACGCACGAGGUAGGCGGAAUUCGUGGUGUAGCGGUGAAAUGCUUAGAUAUCACGAAGAACUCCGAUUGCGAAGGCAGCUUACCGGAGCGCAACUGACGCUGAGGCUCGAAAGCGCGGGUAUCGAACAGGAUUAGAUACCCUGGUAGUCCGCGCGGUAAACGAUGGAUGCCCGCCGUUGGGUUUUAGAAUUCAGCGGCCAAGCGAAAGCGUUAAGCAUCCCACCUGGGGAGUACGCCGGCAACGGUGAAACUCAAAGGAAUUGACGGGGGCCCG
rnacentral:rRNA from 1 species